ACAGCCAAAUCAAGUUGAAACACUGGCUCUCAUACAAUCACUGAAGCUAAGCAAAGUUGAGCCUGGUCAGUUGCUAGAUGGGUGACCACAUAGGAAUAACAGGUGCUGUAAG